rnacentral:rRNA from 1 species
GACGAACGCUGGCGGCGUGCCUAAUACAUGCAAGUAGAACGCAGUUGCGAACGGGUGAGUAACGCGUAGGUAACUGCCUCAGAGCGGGGGAUAACGAUUGGAAACGAUAGCUAAUACCGCAUACUGUGAGAUGGACCUGCGUUGGAUUAGCUAGUUGGUGAGGUAAAGGCCAACCAAGGAGACGGUACAUAGCCGGCCUGGGAGGGGUGACGGCUCCAACUGGACUGAGACAAGGGCCAGACUCCUACCGGAGGGCGCAGUAGGGAAUCUUCGGCCAUGGACGGAAGUCUGACCGAGCAACUCCGCGUUGGUGAAGAAGGUUUUCGGAACGUAAAGCUCUUUUGAUAGAGAAGCGGUAACUAACCAGAAAGGGACGGCUAACUACGUGCCAGCAGCCGCGGUAAUAC